AACGAACGCUGGCGGCAUGCCUAACACAUGCAAGUCGAACGAGACCUUCGGGUCUAGUGGCGCACGGGUGCGUAACGCGUGGGAACCUGCCCUUAGGUUCGGAAUAACUCCCCGAAAGGGGUGCUAAUACCGGAUAAUGUCUUCGGACCAAAGAUUUAUCGCCUUUGGAUGGGCCCGCGUUGGAUUAGCUAGUUGGUAGGGUAAAAGCCUACCAAGGCGACGAUCCAUAGCUGGUCUGAGAGGAUGAUAAGCCGCACUGGGACUGAGACACGGCCCAGACUCCUACGGGAGGCAGCAGUGGAGAAUAUUAGACAAUGGGCGAAGGCGUAAUACAGCAAUGCCGCGUGAGUGAUGAAGGCCUUAGGGUUGUAAAGCCCUUUUACCCGGGAUGAUAAUGACAGUACCGGGAGAAUAAGCUCCGGCUAACUCCGUG
rnacentral:rRNA from 1 species